UCCUGUUUUUUCGUGUUAUUUUCCGUCUCUUUUAUGUCGCUGUUCGAGUGCAUGGGGUGAUUGGUCAUUAUAAUUAAAUUAUGGGCUCAGUAGGGCGGUGCCUGUGUGGACGCGCAGUCCUGUUUUUUCGUGUUAUUUUCCGUCUCUUUUAUGUCGCUGUUCGAGUGCAUGGGAUUGGUCAUUAUAAUUAAAUAAUGGCAUCAGUAGUGCGGUGCCUGUGUGGACGCGCAGUCCUGUUUUUUUUUCGGGUUAUUUUCCGUCUCUUUUGUGUCGCUGUUCGAGUGCAUGGGGUGAUUGGUCAUUAUAAUUAAAUAAUGGCAUCAGUAGUGCGGUGCCUGUGUGGACGCGCAGUCCUGUUUUUUCGUGUUAUUUUCCAUCUCUUUUGUGUCGCUAUUUGUGUACAUGGGGUGAUUGGAUUUCUUCUGAUUCGUGUUGUUUUCAUCUCUUUUGUGUCGCUGUUUGUGUGCAUGGGGUGAUUGGUCUUCUUCUUCUUCUUUUUUCUUUAUUUUUAGUUCGCGCGUUCGUUGGCCAAUGAGUUGAUUUUUGUUCUCUUUACAUAGUUUUCGAUAGAAACGAUCCGAAUUCUUUUUUUUUCGAGACAAGCAAGUCGUAUUGCUGGAUUAAGUCCUUUCUAUAUCAUCGAUGAUCGGAAGGCACGCCGACGAAUAUGUUUUAAGGCUUAUGGUAUAAAAUCAUUUUAAUGAAUAAAGCCCUUCUUACAUCACCGUUGAUCGGAAGGCACGCCGACGAAGAAUUUCUGGAGGAUCGCGGUCGAAUUAAUACUAUAUUUAAAAUUCUAGAUAGCUAUCUUUCGGAUUCGAUUGUGAGUAGCGGGACUUCGCGGUUACUAUGCAACGUAUUUUUUGGAGUCUUUUUAUAUUUUAAAUUUAUAAGUCCUUCUUUUAUCAUCGUUGAUAGGAAGGCACGUCGCCGGUUAAGUUCGUUUAAGUUAUUGUUUUAAUUUCAUUACAAUCGGUUACGUGGUGUCCUGUUUUCCUUCGUUUAUAUUCGUUGAUCGUAAUAAUUUAUUCCAACUGGCAGCUUUAGUAUUAACUCAUCUACUAUUUUUGAAAUUUGCUCGCGUUAUCUAAAUUGUACAAACAGUAAAAAUAUACUGAUAAGUCCAGCCCAUAGCACUACUGCUCGGUUGGCACGCGUUCGAUUAAAAAACUUUUUAAAUAAUCAAUUAUUUAUCUUUCCGCAGCCGGCUGCCUAAGAUUUAACAUUUUCAACCGAUAAACAAAAUGCUCAUGGUCACAUCACUGCCACUCGUGAAUCCUGACCUCAUACCCAUCUACUAACCCCCUCAAAACUCAUGUGAUACUUUGUCGGAGAAGCAGUCGAUUGGGCGGUCUCUAUCACUCAAGUAUCGGACUAACAUUCCCAUCCACUUCCCCGUGACCCUACCACUGGUCGUGGCCGGCGCCGGUAUUGAUCAGCAUGAUAGGGGCCUUUGAGAAGUUGCGAAGCGAGGAAUGAUAGCACCCACUUAUCUUCCACGGCUCGUGGAUGUAACUUCUGGAGGUCCUGGUCAAUAAUACAGAUUGUCAAGGCAAACAGAUUGGCCAAUGUUUCUGGACACCAAACGUGCUGGACACCAACCGCCCUUUACUCCCAGCAAAACUGGCAGUGUUGCAAGCGCAAAACAUACGUUGCCAGUGCCGAUUUAUUUUGCAUCGGCCAAUCUGUCUCCCUCGACAAUCUGUAGUCAAUAACGGAGUAGCAACUGCGGGUGGGCACCUAUGCUUAUGCUUAUGUCAUACGUUUUUGCACCAAAAUGUCGUAUCCCUGUUUGAAAAAUGUCGCACGUCGUACGAGUUGUCGCACGGUUUUGAUUUUACCGUUUCGAUAUCGAUUGGUCGAAAGGACGACAAACACUCGACAUGCCCGACGUUGUUUUUUCCAUCGAUUUGCCUUCAAUUCGACGUCGAUUAUCGUCGACGCAAACAGUUUGACAGUUCUCUUCAGUUGAACUUGUUCGGACUUGAUUGCAACCGAGUCGAACAAAUUGUUGUUGGUUUUAGGCUUUGGGAGGAUUUUGGCCAGUUUAAAGAUUGCGGUCUUCGUGGCGGUAUAGGAGGAAGAGGAGGACGGGAAAUAUGGAUUACUCGGCGAGCCAUUCCGGAAGACGGGACGGGAAGGAACCAGUUUGCGAUCGAGGAAGCCGUUAGUGUUUGGUGUUUUACUUUCCGCGGGAGGUUGCAUCCAUAUCUAAUGGAACUGGCAACAAACAUAUUCUGAUCUGAUCCUGCCGGAAACCAUGCGUCCCCGUGUGGUCCCGCGUGGCUUCCGUAGAACCCAAGGAAGCAGCCUCUCGUACUCCGGUAAACAUCAAUCCGUCGGAGGUUCAAGAUCGUCGCCAAGGUGUCGCAUCCGGGUUUUGAUCAGCGCGUCGAGGAGCAAAAGUCCAACACGGCCAAGAUGCUGCUACGGCCGCCUCCAACAUCCAAGCCGGAAGCUGCGGUCAAGGCAAAUCCCGAAGGAAGCAAAGUUGGAGAAGAAUCGGCGAUCCGCAAGUGAAAUUAAGUGAACAAGUAAAUAUUUUUUUGAAAUUUUGACAGUUGAAAUAAAAAAAAACAAUAAAAACAAAACAACAGUUUUUUUCAACUGCAACAUAACCUAAAAAUCCGAAAUGACAGCACACGACAUUCUAAAUAACAAAACCGUGCGACGUCGGUCGAAUGUCGUACGACAAUGUCGUACAAUUUCGAUCAUCGAUCGCACGACAAAUCCCUGACUGAAAAGUCCGUCGGACGUCCGUCGUUUGUCGUCCGUGCAAUCGUACGACGUCGCACGACAAUGUCGCGCGACUAUCGCACGAAUGUCAGACGUUUUUGCACCAAAAUGUCGUAUUUGUCGUGCGAUCGAUAAUCGAAAUUGUACGACAUUGUCGUACGACAUUCGACCGACGUCGCACGGUUUUGUUAUUUAGAAUGUCGUGCUAUUGUCGUGUGCUGUCAUUUCGGAUUUUUAGGUUAUGUUGCUGUUGAAAAAAACUGUUGUGUUGUUUUUUAUUUUAUUUUUUAUUCAAACACAUCUAAUUUCACAAUAAUAUUAACUUUUUCACGAAAUUUAACUUCCGGAUCGCCGAUUCUUCUCCAACUUGGCAUUCUUCGGAUGCUCUCGGAUUUGCCUUGACCGCAGCUUCCGGCUUGGAUGUUGGUGUUGGACUUUUGCUUCUCGACGAGCUGAUCAAAGUUUAACCCGCCAAUCUUGGAUCUCAGGCGGAUUGAUGGCCACCGGGGUACGAGAUAACGUGAAUACUUCCGUGGGUUCUACGGAGGCGAACUCAUGGUUUCCGGCAUGAUCAGAUUGGAAUAUUUUAGUUGCCUGAAAAAAGAUAACGUUGACGUUUACAUUAGGUAGGAAUGAGCAGGAUAGCUUCUUAAUAUACACUGCGACAUUUGCCAAAUUACUUUAAUUGGCAUCAAUUUAUAAAUUAAAUUCUUACUUAAAUAUUAAUAACAUAAAAUUUUUAAAAAAGGUAUUUUAAACAUAAAAAUCAAUUAAAA